UACGUAGGGUGCGAGCGUUGUCCGGAAUUAUUGGGCGUAAAGGGCUCGUAGGCGGUUUGGCGCGUCGGGAGUGAAAACCUCGGGCUUAACUCGGGGCUUGCUUUCGAUACGGGCAGACUGGAGGCUGGUAGGGGCAAGCGGAAUUCCUGGUGUAGCGGUGAAAUGCGCAGAUAUCAGGAGGAACACCGGUGGCGAAGGCGGCUUGCUGGGCCAGUUCUGACGCUGAGGAGCGAAAGCGUGGGGAGCGAACAGG
rnacentral:rRNA from 1 species